rnacentral:rRNA from 1 species
UACAUCGUGAGUAACGUAGCUAACGCCGUGAAGUCAGCCGCCUGGGGAGUACGGUCGCAAGAUUAAGACUCAAAGGAAUUGACGGGGACCCGCACAAGCGGUGGAUGAUGUGGAUUAAUUCGAUGCAACGCGUUAAACCUUACCUACCCUUGACAUGUCACUAACGAAGUAGAGAUACAUUAGGUGCUCGUAAGAGAAAGUGAACACAGGUGCAGCAUGGCUGUCGUCAGCUCGUGUCGUGAGAUGUUGGGUUAAGUCCCGCAACGAGCGCAACCCUUGUCUUUAGUUGCUACGCAAGAGCACUCUAAAGAGACUGCCGGUGACAAACCGGAGGAAGGUGGGGAUGACGUCAAGUCCUCAUGGCCCUUAUGGGUAGGGCUUCACACGUCAUACAAUGGUGCAUACAGAGGGUUGCCAGCCCGCGAGGGGGAGCUAAUCUCAGAAAAUGCAUCGUAGUCCGGAUCGUAGUCUGCAACUCGACUACGUGAAGCUGGAAUCGCUAGUAAUCGCGGAUCAGAAUGUCGCGGUGAUACGUUCCCGGGUCUUGUACACACCGCCCGUCAUACCAUGGGAGUGGGUUUUGCCAGAAGCCGUUAGCCUAACCGCAAGGAGGCGACUGCCAC